rnacentral:rRNA from 1 species
CGCGGCCUAUCAGCUUGUUGGUGGGGUGAUGGCCUACCAAGGCGACGACGGGUAGCCGGCCUGAGAGGGUGUCCGGCCACACUGGGACUGAGAUACGGCCCAGACUCCUACGGGAGGCAGCAGUGGGGAAUAUUGCACAAUGGGCGCAAGCCUGAUGCAGCGACGCCGCGUGAGGGAUGACGGCCUUCGGGUUGUAAACCUCUUUCAGUACCGACGAAGCGCAAGCGACGGUAGGUACAGAAGAAGCACCGGCCAACUACGUGCCAGCAGCCGCGGUAAUACGUAGGGUGCGAGCGUUGUCCGGAAUUACUGGGCGUAAAGAGCUCGUAGGUGGUUUGUCGCGUUGUUCGUGAAAACUCACAGCUUAACUGUGGGCGUGCGGGCGAUACGGGCAGACUGGAGUACUGCAGGGGAGACUGGAAUUCCUGGUGUAGCGGUGGAAUGCGCAGAUAUCAGGAGGAACACCGGUGGCGAAGGCGGGUCUCUGGGCAGUAACUGACGCUGAGGAGCGAAAGCGUGGGGAGCGAACAGGAUUAGAUACCCUGGUAGUCCACGCCGUAAACGGUGGGUACUAGGUGUGGGUUUCCCUCCUUGGGAUC